CCUACGGGAGGCAGCAGUGAGGGAUAUUGGACAAUGGGGGAAACCCUGAUCCAGCAACGCCGCGUGAGUGAAGACGGUUUUCGGAUUGUAAACCUCUGUCCUCUGUGAAGAUAAUGCCGGUAGCAGAGGGGGAAGCUCCGGCUAACUACGUGCCAGCAGCCGCGGUAAUACGUAGGGGGCAAGCGUUGUCCGGAUUUACUGGGCGUAAAGGGUGCGUAGGCGGCCCUGCAAGUCAGAAGUGAAAUCAAUGGGCUUAACCCGUGAACUGCAUUGGAAACUGUUGGGCUUGAGUGAAGGAGAGGCAGGUGGAAUUCCCGGUGUAGCGGUGAAAUGCGUAGAGAUCGGGAGGAACACCAGUGGCGAAGGCGGCCUGCUGGGCUUUAACUGACGCUGAAGCACGAGAGCGUGGGUAGCAAACAGGAUUAGAUACCCUAGUAGUC
rnacentral:rRNA from 1 species